rnacentral:sRNA from 1 species
AUUUGACCUGGAGAUAUAAAAUGAAUGUGUGCAUCAAUGCCACCGGCUGUGAUAAUUUUGCCCUCAGCUGAGAGGAUUUCAGUCUCUGCUCCAAUCUCUAAGCCCUCUGUAAUACCAUCACAGUUAUUAGGAUUACCACUUUUUCCUAUCGCUGAGAUUUUGCCAUUUUUGAUACCGAUAUCUGCUUUAUAAAUCCCACUAUAGUCGAUAAUUAUAGCAUUGGUGAUGAUGAGAUCUGCCGUGUUGGUGGCUGUUGGGGAUUGGCUCAUACCAUCUCG